AGCGAACGCUGGCGGCAGGCCUAACACAUGCGAGUCGAACGGAUCCUUCGGGAUUAGUGGCGGACGGGUGGGUAACACGUGGGAACGUGCCCUUUGGUUCGGAACAACUCAGGGAAACUUGAGCUAAUACCGGAUGUGCCCUUCGGGGGAAAGAUUUAUCGCCAUUGGAGCGGCCCGCGUCUGAUUAGCUAGUUGGUGAGGUAAAGGCUCACCAAGGCGACGAUCAGUAGCUGGUCUGAGAGGAUGAUCAGCCACAUUGGGACUGAGACACGGCCCAAACUCCUACGGGAGGCAGCAGUGGGGAAUCUUGCGCAAUGGGCGAAAGCCUGACGCAGCCAUGCCGCGUGAAUGAUGAAGGUCUUAGGAUUGUAAAAUUCUUUCACCGGGGACGAUAAUGACGGUACCCGGAGAAGAAGCCCCGGCUAACUUCGUGCCAGCCGCCGCAGUAAGAC
rnacentral:rRNA from 1 species